rnacentral:rRNA from 1 species
UUGGAGGGCAAGUCUGGUGCCAGCAGCCGCGGUAAUUCCAGCUCCAAUAGCGUAUAUUAAAGUUGUUGCAGUUAAAAAGCUCGUAGUUGAAUUUCGGGGUUAGUAGGUUGGUCAUGCCUCUGGUAUGUACUGAUCUCACUGAUUCCUCCUUCCUUAUGAACCGUAAUGCCAUUAAUUUGGUGUUGCGGGGAAUUUGGACUGUUACUUUGAAAAAAUUAGAGUGUUUAAAGCAGGC